GACAGGGGGGACAAGUGUUAGUUAUCGUGACUGGGUGUAAAGAGUGCGUAGGUGGUUAUUUAAAUCGGUGGUGAAAGACCAGAUCCAAGUCUGGAAGAGCGAUUGAUAUUGAAUAACUUAGAGGUUGGAAGGGGAUAGAGGAAUUCUUAGUGUAGGGGUUAAAUCCGUCAAAAUUAAGAAGAACACCAAUGGCGAAAGCGUCUGUCUGGGACAAUACUGACACUGAGGCACGAAAGCGUGGGGAUCAAACUGG
rnacentral:rRNA from 1 species